UACGUAGGGUGCGAGCGUUGUUCGGAAUCAUUGGGCGUAAAGCGCGUGUAGGCGGCUAACUAAGUCUGGUGUGGAAUCCCGGGGCUUAACCCCGGAAGUGCAUUGGAUACUGGUUGGCUAGAGGGCGAGAGAGGGUGGUGGAAUUCCUGGUGUAGGGGUGAAAUCCGUAGAUAUCAGGAGGAACACCGGUAGCGAAGGCGGCCACCUGGCUCGUUUCUGACGCUCAGACGCGAAAGCGUGGGGAGCAAACAGG
rnacentral:rRNA from 1 species